rnacentral:rRNA from 1 species
AUUACCUCAGUAACGGCGAGUGAAGCGGUAACAGCUCAAAUUUGAAAUCUGGCCUCGCGGUCCGAGUUGUAAUUUGUAGAGGAUGCUUCGGGUGUGGUCCGGUCUAAGUUUCUUGGAACAGUACGUCAUAGAGGGUGAGAAUCCCGUAUGCGACCGGUCGCCGCUAUCCAUGUGAAGCUCCUUCGACGAGUCGAGUUGUUUGGGAAUGCAGCUCAAAAUGGGUGGUAAAUUUCAUCUAAAGCUAAAUAUUGGCCAGAGACCGAUAGCGCACAAGUAGAGUGAUCGAAAGAUGAAAAGCACUUUGGAAAGAGAGUUAAACAGUACGUGAAAUUGUUGAAAGGGAAGCGCUUGCAACCAGACUUGCACGCAGUCGAUCAUCCGGCCUUUUGACCGGUGCACUCGAUUGCGUUCAGGCCAGCAUCGGUUUUGGCGGCUGGAUAAAGGCCCCGGGAAUGUAGCUUCCUUCGGGGAGUGUUAUAGCCCGGGGUGCAAUGCAGCCUGCCGGGACCGAGGACCGCGCUUCGGCUAGGAUGCUGGCGUAAUGGUUGUAAGCGACCCGUCUUGAAACACGGACCAAGGAGUCUAACAUCUAUGCGAGUUUUUGGGUGUAAAACCCAUGAGCGUAAUGAAAGUGAACGGAGGUGAGAACCCUUAAGGGUGCAUCAUCGACCGGUCCUGAUGUCUUCGGAUGGAUCUGAGUAAGAGCAUAGCUGUUGGGACCCGAAAGAUGGUGAACUAUGCCUGAAUAGGGUGAAGCCAGAGGAAACUCUGGUGGAGGCUCGCAGCGGUUCUGACGUGCAAAUCGAUCGUCAAAUUUGGGUAUAGGGGCGAAAGACUAAUCGAACC